rnacentral:rRNA from 1 species
AUUGAACGCUGGCGGCAUGCCUUACACAUGCAAGUCGAACGGCAGCACGGAGCUUGCUCUGGUGGCGAGUGGCGAACGGGUGAGUAAUAUAUCGGAACGUACCCUAGAGUGGGGGAUAACGUAGCGAAAGUUACGCUAAUACCGCAUACGAUCUAAGGAUGAAAGUGGGGGAUCGCAAGACCUCAUGCUCGUGGAGCGGCCGAUAUCUGAUUAGCUAGUUGGUAGGGUAAAAGCCUACCAAGGCAUCGAUCAGUAGCUGGUCUGAGAGGACGACCAGCCACACUGGAACUGAGACACGGUCCAGACUCCUACGGGAGGCAGCAGUGGGGAAUUUUGGACAAUGGGCGAAAGCCUGAUCCAGCAAUGCCGCGUGAGUGAAGAAGGCCUUCGGGUUGUAAAGCUCUUUUGUCAGGGAAGAAACGGUGAAGGCUAAUAUCCUUUGCUAAUGACGGUACCUGAAGAACAAGCACCGGCUAACUACGUGCCAGCAGCCGCGGUAAUACGUAGGGUGCAAGCGUUAAU